CAACCCUCAAGUCCCCGGGCUUGGUGUUGGGGAUCGGCGAGCCUCCGCGCCCGCUGUCCCCUAAAUCUAGUGGCGGUCUCGCUGUAGCUUCCUCUGCGUAGUAGCACACCUCGCACUGGGAAACAGCGCGGCCACGCCGUUAAACCCCCAACUUCUGAAC
rnacentral:misc_RNA from 1 species